rnacentral:rRNA from 1 species
GACAGAGGGUGCAAACGUUGUUCGGAAUUACUGGGCGUAAAGCGUGUGUAGGCGGCCCACGUAAGUCGGAUGUGAAAGCCCCAGGCUCAACCUGGGAAGUGCACUCGAUACUGCGUGGCUUGAGUAUCGGAGAGGUUGGUGGAAUUCUCGGUGUAGAGGUGAAAUUCGUAGAUAUCGAGAGGAACACCGGUGGCGAAGGCGGCUCUCUGGGACGGUACUGACACUGGAGACGCGAAAGCGUGGGGAGCAAACAGG